rnacentral:rRNA from 1 species
AUUGAACGCUGGCGGCAGGCUUAACACAUGCAAGUCGAGCGAGCGGCGGACGGGUGAGUAAUGUCUGGGAAACUGCCUGAUGGAGGGGGAUAACUACUGGAAACGGUAGCUAAUACCGCAUACCAUCAGAUGUGCCCAGAUGGGAUUAGCUCGUAGGUGGGGUAAUGGCUCACCUAGGCGACGAUCCCUAGCUGGUCGUGGAGGAUGACCAGCCACACGGGAAUGUGGACACGGUCCAGACUCCUACGGUAGGAAGCAGUGGGGAAUAUUGCACAAUGGGCGCAAGCCGGAUGCAGCCAUGCCGAGUAUGUGAAGAAGGCCUUCGGUUUGUAAAGCACUUUCAGCGAGGAGGCGUUACUCGCAGAAGAAGCACCGGCUAACUCCGUGCCAGCAGCCGCGGUAAUAC